GACGAACGCUGGCGGCGUGCUUAACACAUGCAAGUCGAACGAAGUGGCGAACGGGUGAGUAACGCGUAAUCAACCUGCCCUUCAGAGGGGGACAACAGGUGGAAACGACUGCUAAUACCGCAUACUGAAGGAGGGGAUUGCGUCUGAUUAGAUAGGUGGAGGGGUAACGGCCCACCAAGGCGAUGAUCAGGAGCCGGUCUGAGAGGAUGAAAGGCCACCUUGGGACUGAGAAACGGCCUAGAUUCCUACGGGAGGCAGCAGUGGGGAAGCUUCCGCAAUGGACGAAAGUCUGACGGAGCAACGCCGCGUGAGGGAUGACGGCCUUCGGGUUGUAAAGCUCUGUUAAUCGGGACGCGGUACCGGAAUAGAAAGCCACGGCUAACUACGUGCCAGCCGCCGCGGUAAUUC
rnacentral:rRNA from 1 species